GACGAACGCUGGCGGCGUGCUUAACACAUGCAAGUCGAACGGAAAGGCCCUGCUUUUGUGGGGUGCUCGAGUGGCGAACGGGUGAGUACACGUGAGUAACCUGCCCUUGACUUUGGGAUAACUUCAGGAAACUGGGGCUAAUACCGGAUAGGAGCUCCUGCUGCAUGGUGGGGGUUGGAAAGUUUCGGCGGUUGGGGAUGGACUCGCGGCUUAUCAGCUUGUUGGUGGGGUAGUGGCUUACCAAGGCUUUGACGGGUAGCCGACCUGAGAGGGUGACCGGCCACAUUGGGACUGAGAUACGGCCCAGACUCCUACGGGAGGCAGCAGUGGGGAAUAUUGCACAAUGGGCGGAAGCCUGAUGCAGCAACGCCGCGUGCGGGAUGACGGCCUUCGGGUUGUAAACCGCUUUCGCCUGUGACGAAGCGUGAGUGACGGUAAUGGGUAAAGAAGCACCGGCUAACUACGUG
rnacentral:rRNA from 1 species